rnacentral:rRNA from 1 species
CCUACGGGUUGCAGCAGUGGGGAAUAUUGCACAAUGGGCGCAAGCCUGAUGCAGCCAUGCCGCGUGUAUGAAGAAGGCCUUCGGGUUGUAAAGUACUUUCAGCGGGGAUGAAGGGAGUAAAGUUAAUACCUUUGCUCAUUGACGUUACCUACAGAAGAAGCACCGGCUAACUCCGUGCCAGCAGCCGCGGUAAUACGGAGGGUGCGAGCGUUAAUCGGAAUUACUGGGCGUAAAGCGCAUGCAGGCGGCCUGUUAAGUCAGAUGUGAAAUCCCCGGGCUCAACCUGGGAACUGCAUCUGAUACUGGCAAGCUUGAGUCUCGUAGAGGGGGGUAGAAUUCCAGGUGUAGCGGUGAAAUGCGUAGAGAUCUGGAGGAAUACCGGUGGCGAAGGCGGCCCCCUGGACGAAGACUGACGCUCAGGUGCGAAAGCGUGGGGAGCAAACAGGAUUAGAUACCCGCGUAGUC